UUGAUCCUGGCUCAGAAUCAACGCUGGCGGCGUGCCUAACACAUGCAAGUCGAACGAGAAAGUGGAGCAAUCCAUGAGUACAGUGGCGACCGGGUGAGUUACACGUGACUACCUACCCUUGAGUGGGGGAUAACCUCGGGAAACCGAGGUUAAUACCGCAUAAUAUCGGCGUCUAAUAAACGUCGAUCAAAGGAGAAAUUCGCUUUUGGAGGGGGUCGCGGCUGAUUAGCUAGUUGGUAGGGUAAUGGCUUACCAAGGCGAAGAUCGGUAUCCGGCCUGAGAGGGCGCACGGACACACUUGAACUGAAACACGGUCCAGACUCCUACGGGAGGCAGCAGUGGGGAAUUUUGCGCAAUGGGGGAAACCCUGACGCAGCAACGCCGCGUGGAGGAUGAAGCUCCUUGGGGUGUAAACUCCUUUCGACCGGGAAAAUAAUGAUGGUACCGGUUGAAGAAGCACCGGCUAACUCUGUGCCAGCAGCCGCGGUAAUAAGGU
rnacentral:rRNA from 1 species